GACGAACGCUGGCGGCGUGCUUAACACAUGCAAGUCGAACGCUGAACCCGCUUCGGUGGGGGAUGAGUGGCGAACGGGUGAGUAACACGUGGGCAACCUGCCCCCGGCUCUGGGAUAACUCCAAGAAAUUGGGGCUAAUACCGGAUGUGACCGCUGGCCGCAUGGUCUGGUGGUGGAAAGGGUUUCCGGCUGGGGAUGGGCCCGCGGCCUAUCAGCUUGUUGGUGGGGUAGUGGCCUACCAAGGCGACGACGGGUAGCCGGCCUGAGAGGGUGACCGGCCACACUGGGACUGAGACACGGCCCAGACUCCUACGGGAGGCAGCAGUGGGGAAUAGUGCGAAAUGGGCGGAAGCCUGACGCAGCGACGCCGCGUGGGGGAUGACGGCCUUCGGGUUGUAAACCUCUUUCAGCAGGGACGAAGCGCAAGUGACGGUACCUGCAGAAGAAGCACCGGCCAACUACGUG
rnacentral:rRNA from 1 species